rnacentral:rRNA from 1 species
UACGGGGGGGGCAAGCGUUGUUCGGAAUUACUGGGCGUAAAGGGCUCGUAGGCGGCCAACUAAGUCAGACGUGAAAUCCCUCGGCUUAACCGGGGAACUGCGUCUGAUACUGGAUGGCUUGAGUGUGGGAGAGGGAUGCGGAAUUCCAGGUGUAGCGGUGAAAUGCGUAGAUACCUGGAGGAACACCGGUGGCGAAGGCGGCAUCCUGGACCAUUACUGACGCUGAGUGAGCGAAAGCCAGGGGAGCAAACGGG